UCCAAAGUUAAGCAGCAUUGAGCCUAUUCAGUACUUAGAUGGGUGACCACUUGGGAAUACCAAGUGCUGUAUGC